CUUUAUUUAGUAUAAUUAGUAUAUUUAUUUUCCAAAUAAAAGAUCAGAAAUUUAAGUUUGAAUGAAGA
rnacentral:tRNA from 1 species